rnacentral:lncRNA from 1 species
AACAUUAAUGCAAAUUGUUAGCUAAUCUUUUGGCUUUAUUCAAAGUUCACCAAUCUUUGAAAAAUAGUCUAGUUUGCUAUUUUGGGGGGGGGGGAAAUCAGAUCAUAAGAGGCAUGUAGUUGUCACAUCCCUAUAGUGUACUUUAUUUGUGAAUUCAAAUCUAAUGUUCUGACAAGGUUUUUGAAGCUGAUCCUAAUAUUUACUCAAAUAGCUUUUUGAAGACUGGCUGUGCUGAAGGGCUACCAAGGUAGAGAUACCUGAACUUUCCUGGUAUAGUAUUGAGAAAGUAAGCUCAGGGGGCUAUAAUGGAUUUACAAUUUAAGACUCAAAAGCUCAAAAAGCAACUCUAUCCUAGGAAUGCCAGAGGCCACCUCUUUAAUAAGAGGAUGCACUAGUGAUAGAAAUACUAGUAACUUUGAGCUCAGUGAUAGUUUUUAUCUGUAGACUACAGAUGAUGGUAUGAGAUUCUGCCAUGGAAGUGAGUUCUAUACUAUCAAUUUGGAUGAUGAGAUUCUGAAAAUAUAGAGGGCAGAUGGCAACUCUGAGCCACCAACCAUUAUUAACAUAAUAGGUAGCAGGGGUGAAAUGAUAAUUGCCAUGCUUUGAUUUAGAGAAAUCUGCCACAAUUGAAAUAGGUCAUAGUGUUUCUAGAUGGGGAGCAAACUAGGCUAUUUUUCAAUUGUUUAUAAUAAAAAAUUA